rnacentral:rRNA from 1 species
CAGGCCUAACACAUGCAAGUCGAACGAUGACUCUCUAGCUUGCUAGAGAUGAUUAGUGGCGGACGGGUGAGUAACAUUUAGGAACCUGCCUAGUAGUGGGGGAUAGCUCGGGGAAACUCGAAUUAAUACCGCAUACGACCUACGGGUGAAAGGGGGCGCAAGCUCUUGCUAUUAGAUGAGCCUAAAUCAGAUUAGCUAGUUGGUGGGGUAAAGGCCCACCAAGGCGACGAUCUGUAACUGGUCUGAGAGGAUGAUCAGUCACACCGGAACUGAGACACGGUCCGGACUCCUACGGGAGGCAGCAGUGGGGAAUAUUGGACAAUGGGGGCAACCCUGAUCCAGCCAUGCCGCGUGUGUGAAGAAGGCCUUUUGGUUGUAAAGCACUUUAAGCAGGGAGGAGAGGCUAAUGGUUAAUACCCAUUAGAUUAGACGUUACCUGCAGAAUAAGCACCGGCUAACUUUGUGCCAGCAGCCGCGGUAAU